rnacentral:rRNA from 1 species
GAUGAACGCUAGCGGGAGGCUUAAUACAUGCAAGUCGAGCGGUAGAGCGGCUUCGGUUGCUCGAGAGCGGCGCACGGGUGAGUAACGCGUACGCAACUUACCUCCAAGCGGGCAUAGCCCCGGGAAACUGGGAUUAAUACCCCAUAGUUUGCAUUGGCUGCAUGGUCAGUGCAAUAAAGUUGAGGCGCUUGGAGAUAGGCGUGCGUCUGAUUAGGUAGUUGGUAGGGUAACGGCCUACCAAGCCGACGAUCAGUAGGGGGCUGAGAGCGUGGCCCCCCANACGGGUACUGAGACACGGACCCGACUCCUACGGGAGGCAGCAGUAAGGAAUAUUGGACAAUGGACGAAAGUCUGAUCCAGCCAUCCCGCGUGCAGGAUGACUGCCCUAUGGGUUGUAAACUGCUUUUGGAAGGG